CUCUCGCCUCUCGCCUCUCUCUCUCUCUGGAAAGAGGGCUUUCUUCUGUCUCUCUUCUCUAUCUUCUCUUCUCUAGUCGCCUCUCUUCUCUUUUUUGUCCAUUUCUUCAUCAAGAAGGACCAGAUCGGGUUGAUGUAUCAAUCCUCUUCUCUGGGUCAUCGGGUUUCGUUUGAAAUCUCAGUAAGGAGGAUCGGAUCUGAGCGCAACCUCUGUCACUGUAAGGAGGAUCAGAUCUGAAAAAUUUAUCUGAGACUUUGGGUAUGAUUAUGCAUGAAGACUCACGCUUGAUCAGGUUCUCAGAUGGGAUAGUUUCACUGCUUGAGUCUGAAAUUGAUAUUAAUCUCAGGAACUAUCAAAAGCAAAGCAAAGCUCUGUCCCAAACUCUUAACCAAUUCUCAGUCUCCAUUUGAAGCUUCUUUUUCCCAUGAAAGACGGUAGAGAAAGAGGGGGUUUAUUUACUGGGAAACUCAGUCAAAUGCCCCUGAUGUGGAAGAGGGAUUUGCUCUAUUUAUAUAUUUUGUGGAUGGUUAAUGGUUUGCUCUUAUUUUUUUACAUAUAUUCUUUUUAUAUUGAUAAGGCUCCAAUGGCCUUGAUUCUUCCAGAGUAGUUCGUUGUAAAUAGAUGGAGUUGAUUAGUGGCUCAA